rnacentral:rRNA from 1 species
CGUGUAGGCGGCUUGACAAGUCAGAUGUGAAAUCCCUGGGCUUAACCCAGGAAGUGCAUUUGAAACUGUUUGGCUGGAGUAAGGGAGAGGAAAGUGGAAUUCCUGGUGUAGAGGUGAAAUUCGUAGAUAUCAGGAGGAACACCGGUGGCGAAGGCGACUUUCUGGCCCUAUACUGACGCUGAGACGCGAAAGCGUGGGUAGCAAACAG